rnacentral:rRNA from 1 species
UUGUAAACUGCUUUUAGUUGGGAAUAAAGUGCACCACGAGUGGUGUUUUGUAUGUACCAUCAGAAAAAGGACCGCCUAAUUCCGUGCCAGCAGCCGCGGUAAUACGGAAGGUCCAGGCGUUAUCCGGAUUUAUUGGGUUUAAAGGGAGCGCAGGCGGACCUUUAAGUCAGCUGUGAAAUACGGCGGCUCAACCGUCGAACUGCAGUUGAUACUGGAGGUCUUGAGUGCACACAGGGAUACUGGAAUUCAUGGUGUAGCGGUGAAAUGCUCAGAUAUCAUGAAGAACUCCGAUCGCGAAGGCAGGUAUCCGGGGUGCAACUGACGCUGAGGCUCGAAAGUGCGGGUAUCAAACAGGAUUAGAUACCCUGGUAGUCCGCACAGUAAACGAUGAAUACUCGCGAUUUGCGAUACACAGUAAGUCGCCAAGCGAAAGCGUUAAGUAUUCCACCUGGGGAGUACGCCGGCAACGGUGCAACUCAAAUGAAUUGACGGAAUA